AGAUUAAGUUAUUAAGGGCGCACGGUGGAUGCCUUGGCACUAGAAGCCGAUGAAGGACGUUACUAACGACGAUAUGCUUUGGGGAGCUGUAAGUAAGCUUUGAUCCAGAGAUUUCCGAAUGGGGAAACCCAGCAUGAGUUAUGUCAUGUUAUCGAUAUGUGAAUACAUAGCAUAUCAGAAGGCACACCCGGAGAACUGAAACAUCUUAGUACCCGGAGGAAGAGAAAGAAAAUUCGAUUCCCUUAGUAGCGGCGAGCGAAACGGGAAGAGCCCAAACCAAAAAGCUUGCUUGUUGGGGUUGUAGGACACUCUAUACGGAGUUACAAAGGACGACAUUAGACGAAUCAUCUGGAAAGAUGAAUCAAAGAAGGUAAUAAUCCUGUAGUCGAAAAUGUUGUCUCUCUUGAGUGGAUCCUGAGUACGACGGAGCACGUGAAAUUCCGUCGGAAUCUGGGAGGACCAUCUCCUAAGGCUAAAUACUCUCUAGUGACCGAUAGUGAACCAGUACCGUGAGGGAAAGGUGAAAAGCACCCCGGAAGGGGAGUGAAAUAGAACCUGAAACCGUGUGCUUACAAGUAGUCAGAGCCCGUUAAUGGGUGAUGGCGUGCCUUUUGUAGAAUGAACCGGCGAGUUACGAUUUGAUGCAAGGUUAAGCAGUAAAUGUGGAGCCGUAGCGAAAGCGAGUCUGAAUAGGGCGUUUAGUAUUUGGUCGUAGACCCGAAACCAGGUGAUCUACCCUUGGUCAGGUUGAAGUUCAGGUAACACUGAAUGGAGGACCGAACCGACUUACGUUGAAAAGUGAGCGGAUGAACUGAGGGUAGCGGAGAAAUUCCAAUCGAACCUGGAGAUAGCUGGUUCUCUCCGAAAUAGCUUUAGGGCUAGCCUCAAGUGAUGAUUAUUGGAGGUAGAGCACUGUUUGGACGAGGGGCCCCUCUCGGGUUACCGAAUUCAGACAAACUCCGAAUGCCAAUUAAUUUAACUUGGGAGUCAGAACAUGGGUGAUAAGGUCCGUGUUCGAAAGGGAAACAGCCCAGACCACCAGCUAAGGUCCCAAAAUAUAUGUUAAGUGGAAA
rnacentral:rRNA from 1 species